rnacentral:rRNA from 1 species
AUUGAACGCUGGCGGCAGGCCUAACACAUGCAAGUCGAGCGGAUGACGGGAGCUUGCUCCUUGAUUCAGCGGCGGACGGGUGAGUAAUGCCUAGGAAUCUGCCUGGUAGUGGGGGACAACGUUUCGAAAGGAACGCUAAUACCGCAUACGUCCUACGGGAGAAAGCAGGGGACCUUCGGGCCUUGCGCUAUCAGAUGAGCCUAGUUCGGAUUAGCUAGUUGGUGGGGUAAUGGCUCACCAAGGCGACGAUCCGUAACUGGUCUGAGAGGAUGAUCAGUCACACUGAAACUGAGACACGGUCCAGACUCCUACGGGAGGCAGCAGUGGGGAAUAUUGGACAAUGGGCGAAAGCCUGAUCCAGCCAUGCCGCGUGUGUGAAGAAGGUCUUCGGAUUGUAAAGCACUUUAAGUUGGGAGGAAGGGCAGUAAGUUAAUACCUUGCUGUUUUGACGUUACCGACAGAAUAAGCACCGGCUAACUCUGUGCCAGCCGCCGCUGUAAUAC